UACGUAGGGGGGCAAGCGUUGUCCGGAUUUAUUGGGCGUAAAGAGCGUGUAGGCGGCUUUUACAGGUCCGUUGUGAAAACUCGAGGCUCAACCUCGAGACGCCGGUGGAAACCGUAAAGCUAGAGUCCGGAAGAGGAGAGUGGAAUUCCUGGUGUAGCGGUGAAAUGCGCAGAUAUCAGGAAGAACACCCGUGGCGAAGGCGGCUCCUCUGGGGACGGUACUGACGCUGAGACGCGAAAGCGUGGGGAGCGAACAGG
rnacentral:rRNA from 1 species